UUUCCGGCUGUCCCUUUUUACCGCCAUACCUUCUUUCCCUAUCCUUUUCCACUCUCAAUUUCUGUUUCGCUCCCCGAUUCCUGUUUCCGCUCCAUUCUCGUUCCGCGUUUCGUCUUCCUCUACGCGUUUCACCCCUCCCCCGUGGUCCAUGUUCCACUCCCAUCUAUUCCGCCACGAUCUAGUUCUGCUCCCUCGUCCGUUCCGCUCGUUCCGCUCCUCCCUCCCCGUCUGCGAUCCACGCCCUCCAGAGAUCUCGCACUCCCAUUCCGUCCUUCCUCCUGCUCCAUCAGCGUGCCAUCCACUACUCCACCUCCCGCAAACGUGCACCUCCCUCGCCCGCGCAUCCAAUCCAUCCCCGUGCUACAGCCCUUUCCCCAGCAACACCACGCGCUUGCCCUAUGCCUCUAGCCCCAACGCUGAUCCUCUCCUCUCAUCGAUGCUCCAUCUCCGCGCAACCCCGCCAGAUUCUAUGUCCCCUUUCACGCACCCGAGGAGGACGAGGAUUGAGCUGAGGAGCAGAUCUCCCAGUACCUGAGGAGGAGGAACAUACCUCACCGUACAUGAGGAUGCCGCCAUCACUUCCUUCACUAGCGCCGCUUCACCCCUCUCUGUGCCGCACCGCGCUGCCCCUCCCCUCCCGUGCAGAUCUUGGAUGCGCACGCAUAUCCGGCUGAUGGAUCAGCUUCCAGAUCGUCGGACUACACCGCGCAACGAUCGUGGAGCGACGGGUUCCUACCAUCCCGGUGCCUCUCGAAGUCACAUUCGGAGCAGAGUAACAAUCCCGCUUCCGCAUCUCCACUCUGGCCUAGAGUCUCGGUGUGGAGGCUUCAGAGGAAGGAGAGGAGAAUCAAUUUGCAAGGCUUCGGCAGAUCUAUCAAUUCAUGAGUGAUCUGCAGCUCGAUAGGUUCGUGAUUUUUUCUUUUAUUUGUUUUCCUAAUUUUUUUGUCAUUCUUUUGAAAGAUCUGGGAUGCUCCAGUGAACCAAGUGAAGCAAUCACAGCUGCUAUGAUCUAUUCCGCGACUACCGGUCUUUCCAAUGAAUCGAGUGAAGGAACCAGGUCAAGAACAGUUCGUGAUGGAACCAUCAAUUCGUGCAGACCUGGAUUCCUGACGCGACGUCGCUAGAUUCACAGUUCAAUUGUUCUAGAUCAAUGUGGUUUUGAUGAAUUUUGGUGCAGAUCCCGGCUUCUCAGGGCUACGGCGAAGGGCAGCGAUGCGUGAGCCUGUCUGUUUUGUUCUUUAGAUUUUGUUAGGACUUUCAGUUCGCAGUUUGGUUGUUAAUGGGAGAUGGGUAAAUCAUAUGGAUGUUCAUGAAGCGUGAUUAAUUCUCAUGACUUGGAUAGUGCUGGAUUAUGAAUGAAAUCUUGUGGGAAAUUUGAGUGGUGA